rnacentral:rRNA from 1 species
GGCCACAGCCAUAUCACCCUGCAGCCCAAGACCGGUUACUCACUAAAGCUAAGCAGGUCUGAGCCUGGUUAGUACCUGGAUGGGAGACCACUAGGGAACACUAGGUUGCUGUUGGAA